UGGAUUAGGCAUGCAAGUCGAACGUGAACCUUGCUUCGGUGAGGUGAAAGUGGCGAAAGGGUGAGUAAUGCAUAGCCAACCUACCCCCGACACUGGGAUAACCAGGAGAAAUCUUGGCUAAGACCGGAUAUGCUCGCGAAGAUGCAUGUUUUUGCGAGUAAAGGAGGCCUCUUAACAAUGCUUCUGGUUGGGGACGGGACUAUGUUCUAUCAGCUAGUUGGUGAGGUAACGGCUCACCAAGGCGAUGACGGAUAGCCGACCUGAGAGGGUGACCGGCCACACUGGGACUGAGAUACUGCCCAGACUCCUACGGGAGGCUGCAGUCGAGAAUCUUCCGCAAUGGGGGAAACCCUGACGGAGCGACGCCGCGUGCGGGAUGAAGGCCUUCGGGUUGUAAACCGCUGUCACACGUUAUGAAAGAAACGGAGUUAAAAGCUCUGGGUCUUGACAAAGGCGUGGGAGGAAGCCACGGCU
rnacentral:rRNA from 1 species